rnacentral:rRNA from 1 species
AGAGUUUGAUCAUGGCUCAGAUUGAACGCUGGCGGCAUGCCUUACACAUGCAAGUCGAACGGCAGCGCGGGGGCAACCCUGGCGGCGAGUGGCGAACGGGUGAGUAAUACAUCGGAACGUGUCCUGGAGUGGGGGAUAGCCCGGCGAAAGCCGGAUUAAUACCGCAUACGAUCUCUGGAUGAAAGCGGGGGAUCUUCGGACCUCGCGCUCAAGGGGCGGCCGAUGGCAGAUUAGCUAGUUGGUGGGGUAAAGGCCUACCAAGGCGACGAUCUGUAGCUGGUCUGAGAGGACGACCAGCCACACUGGGACUGAGACACGGCCCAGACUCCUACGGGAGGCAGCAGUGGGGAAUUUUGGACAAUGGGGGCAACCCUGAUCCAGCAAUGCCGCGUGUGUGAAGAAGGCCUUCGGGUUGUAAAGCACUUUUGUCCGGAAAGAAAACCGCUUCUCUAAUACAGAGGUGGGAUGACGGUACCGGAAGAAUAAGCACCGGCUAACUACGUGCCAGCAGCCGCGGUAAUACGUAGGGUGCAAGCGUUAAUCGGAAUUACUGGGCGUAAAGCGUGCGCAGGCGGUUCGCUAAGACCGAUGUGAAAUCCCCGGGCUUAACCUGGGAACUGCAUUGGUGACUGGCGGGCUAGAGUAUGGCAGAGGGGGGUAGAAUUCCACGUAGCAGUGAAAUGCGUAGAGAUGUGGAGGAAUACCGAUGGCGAAGGCAGCCCCCUGGGCCAAUACUGACGCUCAUGCACGAAAGCGUGGGGAGCAAACAGGAUUAGAUACCCUAGUAGUCC